rnacentral:rRNA from 1 species
AGUAAAUUGGUUAAGUUAGAAAGGGCGCACGGUGGAUGCCUUGGCACUAGGAGCCGAAGAAGGACGGGACUAACACCGAUAUGCUUUGGGGAGCUGUACGUAAGCGUUGAUCCAGAGAUUUCCGAAUGGGGGAACCCACUAUCUUUAGUCGGAUAGUAUCCUUACGUGAAUACAUAGCGUGAGGAAGGCAGACCCAGGGAACUGAAACAUCUAAGUACCUGGAGGAAGAGAAAGAAAAAUCGAUUUCCUGAGUAGCGGCGAGCGAAACGGAAAGAGCCCAAACCAAGAAGCUUGCUUCUUGGGGUUGUAGGACACUCUAUACGGAGUUACAAAAGAAAGUUAUAAAUGAAGCGGUCUGGAAAGGCCCGCCAAAGACGGUAACAGCCCGGUAGUUGAAAUGGCUUUCCCUCCAGAGUGGAUCCUG